UACGGGAGUGGCAAGCGUUAUCCGGAAUUAUUGGGCGUAAAGCGUCCGCAGGCGGCCUUGUAAGUCUGUCGUUAAAGCGUGGAGCUUAACUCCAUUUCAGCGAUGGAAACUACAAGGCUUGAGUGUGGUAGGGGCAGAGGGAAUUCCCGGUGUAGCGGUGAAAUGCGUAGAUAUCGGGAAGAACACCAGUGGCGAAGGCGCUCUGCUGGGCCAUCACUGACGCUCAUGGACGAAAGCCAGGGGAGCGAAAGGGAUUAGAUACCCCUGUAGUCCUGGCCGUAAACGAUGAACACUAGGUGUCGGGGGAAUCGACCCCCUCGGUGUCGUAGCCAACGCGUUAAGUGUUCCGCCUGGGGAGUACGCACGCAAGUGUGAAACUCAAAGGAAUUGACGGGGGCCCGCACAAGCGGUGGAGUAUGUGGUUUAAUUCGAUGCAACGCGAAGAACCUUACCAGGGCUUGACAUCCCGCGAACCUCUGAGAAAUCGGAGGGUGCCUUCGGGAACGCGGAGACAGGUGGUGCAUGGCUGUCGUCAGCUCGUGUCGUGAGAUGUUGGGUUAAGUCCCGCAACGAGCGCAACCCACGUUUUUAGUUGCCAGCAUUCAGUUGGGCACUCUAGAAAGACCGCCGGUGAUAAACCGGAGGAAGGUGUGGAUGACGUCAAGUCAUCAUGCCCCUUACGUCCUGGGCUACACACGUACUACAAUGCUACGGACAAAGGGCAGCAAACUCGCGAGAGCUAGCAAAUCCCAUAAACCGUGGCUCAGUUCAGAUCGUAGGCUGCAACCCGCCUACGUGAAGGAGGAAUCGCUAGUAAUCGCAGGUCAGCAUACUGCGGUGAAUACGUUCCCGGGCCU
rnacentral:rRNA from 1 species